rfam:Lepisosteus oculatus linkage group LG2, whole genome shotgun sequence.
CCCAGCAGCCAUAUCACUCUGCAGCUCACAGCUGGCAGCCCACUGAAGCUCAGCAGGUGUGAGCCUGGUCAGUCCCUGGAUGGGAGACCUCCUGGGUAAAACUAAGAUUGCUGCUGGAA